rnacentral:tRNA from 1 species
GGCUGGGUGGCUUAGUCGGUUAAGCAUCUGACUUCGGCUCAGGUCAUGAUCUCGCAGUUUGUGGGUUCAAGGCCCAUGUCGGGCCC